rnacentral:antisense_RNA from 1 species
GGGUGCUCUUGGCUGUUUGUUGAGGGCAAUAAAUACCCGUCACUGGUUUUGUCCUUGGCAAAUAGACGAAAGCCCCGAAAGUUAAAUUUCUUUAACCAACGAGGCAAUCUAAUGUACUUGAACACUACUGAUGGUAGCCUCUAUUUUACUGAGAGGCAAGUUUUAUGCUACGAAG